UACGUAGGGUGCAAGCGUUAUCCGGAAUUAUUGGGCGUAAAGAGCUCGUAGGCGGUUUGUCGCGUCUGCUGUGAAAACCGGAGGCUCAACCUCCGGCCUGCAGUGGGUACGGGCAGACUAGAGUGCGGUAGGGGAGAUUGGAAUUCCUGGUGUAGCGGUGGAAUGCGCAGAUAUCAGGAGGAACACCGAUGGCGAAGGCAGAUCUCUGGGACGUUACUGACGCUGAGACGCGAAAGCGUGGGGAGCAAACAGG
rnacentral:rRNA from 1 species